GAAAUGGAAUUGUUGGACGAGGUACUUUAGUAGUUUAGUUGAUGAGGUGCCAACUCCAACGUUCUAUUGAUCUACAUUCAGGUGUAAUUAGAAGAGUGCUGUUAAUAAACGAUAAACACGGCUGAAAGAUCAAUAGAGCUACAUAGAAAAGUAUAUAGAACUAUGCAUAGACAUUAGCUGCGACUUGCGAGUGCUGCUGCUGCUAGACAACAAACAACACGCAACAAACAGCAGGCGACAAGCAAGAGCAACUGUUGUCAACAGACGAAAAAAGAGAAGAAGAAAAGCUGAAGUCGGCUCGCUCUGAAGUUGAGUUCGUAUCUUUGGAUGGCUGCACAUGUCGUGUCUCAUUAAGAAAUGCAACAACACUAACAACAACAACAACAACAGCGGCAACAACGUCGGUUUCCUAACCUCAAUGUUGACAGUCGUCUGCCUCAGCUACCAACGCUUGCUUCAUUGUAAACGAUAUAUAAAUAUAUAUAUAUACCUGAGUACCUAUCGCAUAUAAGGCACAUCAGCCCAUAUAUGACUUAAUGUGCAGCGGCAAAAAAAAAGUGUGGCAAAGCGGCUGAGCAGGUUGCAGACAUGUUCACGUUGCAUGCCACCAACAACAACAACAACAACAACUGAGAGCAACGGUAGCAGGGGAAUUUUGUUGUCGUUGUUAGCGUAAUUGCCGUUGUUCUUGCUUUUAUUAUACUCUAAUUGAACUUAAGUUUAUUGAUGUUUUUAUAAAGUUUGCCACGUUUUAAGCGAAUUAUAUCCCAGACACUCUCGAAUUGAGUGAGAGGAGGGCUUAAAAAGUAGAGUGAAGCUUGAGAGUAUCCUAACUAUCUUAAUUUGUCUUAUCUAUCCCAUUAUAGCUACACAAUUUUCAUCUAUUAAGUAGUAACGGAAAAUAAUGGGAAUAUAACAUAAAUUUAUUUACUACAUUUCUAUAUCAAAAUUUUUGGAAAAUACAU